GAUGAACUCUGGCGGCGUGCCUAAUACAUGCCAGUCGAGCGAACAGAUGAGGAGCUUGCUCCUCUGACGUUAGCGGCGGACGGGUGAGUAACACGUGGAUAACCUACCUAUAAGACUGGGAUAACUUCGGGAAACCGGAGCUAAUACCGGAUAAUAUAUUGAACCGCAUGGUUCAAUAGUGAAAGACGGUUUUGCUGUCACUUAUAGAUGGAUCCGCGCCGCAUUAGCUAGUUGGUAAGGUAACGGCUUACCAAGGCAACGAUGCGUAGCCGACCUGAGAGGGUGAUCGGCCACACUGGAACUGAGACACGGUCCAGACUCCUACGGGAGGCAGCAGUAGGGAAUCUUCCGCAAUGGGCGAAAGCCUGACGGAGCAACGCCGCGUGAGUGAUGAAGGUCUUCGGAUCUUAAAACUCUGUUAUUAGGGAAGAACAAAUGUGUAAGUAACUAUGCACGUCUUGACGGUACCUAAUCAGAAAGCCACGGCUAACUACGUG
rnacentral:rRNA from 1 species